rnacentral:rRNA from 1 species
UACGGGGGGAGCAAGCGUUGUUCGGAUUUACUGGGCGUAAAGGGCGCGUAGGCGGUCAGCACAAGUCAGUUGUGAAAUCUCCGGGCUUAACUCGGAAAGAUCAACUGAUACUGUGCGACUAGAGUGCAGAAGGGGCAACUGGAAUUCUCGGUGUAGCGGUGAAAUGCGUAGAUAUCGAGAGGAACACCUGCGGCGAAGGCGGGUUGCUGGGCUGACACUGACGCUGAUGCGCGAAAGCGUGGGGAGCAAACGGG